rnacentral:misc_RNA from 1 species
GCGGAACGCCUGGAAAAUUAGGACAACUGCUGCGUGAAAUUCAAAUUCUAAUGGCAAGCAUGGACUGAAAAUAUAAGACUUGACAGAAUUCUAUGAUAUGUGUGUGACUCUAUGCUUAAAACUGAAUCUGGAGCAUCUUUCUCAAGCUGACAAGGGCUAAGGUGUUGACCUUCUAUUCGUCCAGGAUUAAAAAGGUCACCUACUAGGAAACAAUCUGUGAUCAUGAUGUGAUAUAUGACAAAGUGCUAUCCGCACAGAGUGAUUUCCCCUUUAUGCAGAUUUAUUUAUUGGUGAACAACUUAAGUGGAACAAAGAUGUUGCCUAACAUGUGCAUUGCAGGCACUGUCAACAAAAAUUUUUUGGUUCACUAUAAUAAAAUCUUGACCAAUCCCGACUUCCUUCUAUGAUGCUACUGAUGUAGGUAUUAUCUUUGAAAUGUAUUUUUGCCCUGUCAAAAUACUAAACUGCACAUUUGUUUUUUUGGGGGUUUUUUUUUUAUAUAUAAAAAUCCUUUCAAUUAAAGGUAAAUAUUAAGUGCAUGUUCAAGAAUAUUUUUUGGAAUACCUAUGUGUGUACAUGUAUAUACAUUUUAAUGAAUGCAAGUGCUAGAAGUGUUUUUCUUCCCUUCUUUUAUACUCCUUAUUGAAUAGAUGCUACAUGUGCCUACACUAAAACUAAUGGAAUAAAAAAAACCCUGUGCGAGUGUUUUUGUUUUACAGUAAGUUUGUCAACAUUCCAAAGGUCAUGGCAUAUCAACAGAAAAGUGCACAAUUUUUUCUUUUAUUGUGAUACAAAAAUUUAUGCAUAUGUAAUGUGCAAUAAAUGGUCCAUUGUAGGAAAGAAAGAUGCAAACUUGUAUUAAUAAAUCUAAGAUGAAUGAAUUAUUAAUUAAUUAAUUAAUUGUUCUAAUAUUGGCUCAAAAGAAAGGUUGUUGUGUAAUUAUUUUAUUUUUUGUGCAUAAAGCAAAAUAUUUAGAUUUUUGCGUUAUUUGAAAUUGAUUUUCAGGUUUGUGUGGAUGAAUAAGAACCUAGAGUAUAUUUACAAAAUGAAUGUACAUCUAUCAAAUGUUUAUGGCGUUUAAAUGAAAUUUACAAUCCCUGACUUGUUUUUUUUACUGUAAAUUCUUUGUCCUAUAUUGCCAUCAACACUUGCGUCAGUUACACUUGGUAAAAUUUGGUAGGCAUGCACUCUUAGUUUUUGAGCUUUUCACACCAGAGGCAUUACAUGUAAUUACUUCCAGUUUGUCAGUCAAAUAAUUAAGUUCACCUCAGUGCUUGCUUUAUCCCUGUUCAAAUGCAUUUGUAUUUUUCAUUUACAAUAUGUUUAAAUUGAAAAUGUAAAAUAAAUUACAUUUUAAAAUG